rnacentral:rRNA from 1 species
GACGAACGCUGGCGGCGUGCUUAACACAUGCAGGUCGAACGGAAAGGCCCUGCUUUUGUUGGGUGCUCGAGUGGCGAACGGGUGAGUAACACGUGAGUAACCUGCCCUGGACUUUGGGAUAACUUCAGGAAACUGGGGCUAAUACCGGAUAGGAGCUCCUGCUGCAUGGUGGGGGUGGGAAAGUUUCGGCGGUUGGGGAUGGACUCGCGGCUUAUCAGCUUGUUGGUGGGGUAGUGGCUUACCAAGGCUUUGACGGGGAGCGGGUCUGAGGGGGUGCGGGGCCACAGGGGGAGUGAGACAGGGCCCAGACCCCUGCGGGGGGGAGGAGUGGGGAAUAGUGCAAAAGGGGCGGAAGCGUGAUGGAGAAGCGGCGCGUGGGGGAUGAGGGCUUUGGGUUUGUAAACCGUUUUCGCCUGUGACGAAGCGUGGGUGACGGUAAUGGGGAAAGAAGAACCGGUUAACUACGU